AUGGCUCAGUGAGGCCUUGGGACUGGCUCAGAGAGGUCGGCAACGACCACUCAGAGCCGGAAACUUGGUCAAACUUGGUCAUUUAGAGGAAGUAAAAGUCGUAACAAGGUUUUAUCUUCUAAGUGAUGAAGAUGAUCAUAUUGAUGAUCCUUCUGCAGUAAUACUUAUGGAAGCCUUUGCGUCCCGAAAGGGUCGGUCUCGUACGACUAUAAACAAAUAACGACGAGCCAUAAUCGCAAGUCUGGUCUCUAGGGACCAGGCAACACUGUCAAAUUGCGGGAACCCCCUAAAGUCUCUUGCACUAAGCCGUGGCCGAAAGGUCGUGGUGGCCAGGGUAAUGCCCUCGGGUACAGUCACAGCCAAGAGAAUAGAUCGCCUGUCUUAGGCGUGAAAAUGGGCAAUCUGCAGCCAAGUCCUAAAACCACCGAUCUGGCGGUCACGGAUGCAGUUCACAGGCCAAAUGGUAGUGGGUGAGGCGCUGCCUUGCUUAAGAUAUGGUCGGGCCCCUUGGGAAACCUUGGGGAUAAUUUACUGAACAACACACCCCAUGGGGGAGGUAUAUGUGCGCAAGAAAAAAUUUGUGAGAAAGAUAAUGUGUAUUGAUGCUAUGUUUAAAAACUGCCCAAGUCAUCAAUACUAUCUAACUCUACCCAAAAAUUUGGGUCGCACGAGCAUGGUCGGUCCGCAUGCACCACCUGGCAAGCAACAUUUCUGUUGCUCACCCAGGUGGUGAAGUGGGAGACCGACCAGCUGUGGUCUCUAACCAGACCCACCUCCCACUUCCACAACAUAUCCUCAAAAUAGAGGGCACACAGCUUUCUUGUCUGAUUAAUAAUAUUCGGUUCCUGUAUCAGGAACCGAGGAUUGAUGUUGCUGUGGCGGUCUGAUCAGUGGUGUUGCACAACUCAAAUGUUCAAAUGCACAUACCUAGAAGUAAUCUUGCCCGAGAUACAGGUAUGGGAGACGUCCAAAGUCGGAAUAAUGUCGCGAUAAAAUUGCUGAUAAGUGAUGCGAUGUGUAAGAUAUUUGGUACCGGAAAUGCGAACUGAGAAUUGUGUGAGUGACUGUUGACCUGACAUGGUGGUGUUGUGACAUGGGGGAGACAUGGGAAUAGAGCAGGGUGACUGACUUUGGGAAUAUCCAUGGUGAGUACUUGCAUAUGGUGUAAAAACAGGAACAUUUGGCCAUUGGCCGACGGAGAUGCCAGCGACUUGCUGGGCGGAGAGGUGCGGAUUUUUUCCGCCAAAACCGGGAGCAGCGACAAUCUGCUGCAAGGCGGCGUCGAGGGCCGCAGCCGAAAGCGUUUCUACCGCCAUAGCGGUGAUGAAUGUGACCCUGCAGAAGAAAAGAAAAAGAAAAGAGAAUCAAGUUGAAAAAAGGUUCCAUUCAAUGAUUUGAAGUUUUCGAAUUCAUGCUCCUUCCCUUUCUUCUGCAUGUCUACCGUUCAUGGCAGGAACCCUUCCUGUGAUCAGGCUAUACGGCAAGAACGCUCCCACUCCACCUAGCAAGAACGCUGCCAGUUUCAUACGGCAAGAACGCUCCCACAAUUUCCAUACGCACCUUCCAGCUCUGUCCCAUCCUCCCCCUUUAAUAAAGAACCGUUCCGUAGGUGAACCUGCGGAAGGAUCAUUACCGAGUUAGGGUCCUCUGGGCCCGAACCUCCCAACCCUUUGUCUACUACACCUCUGUUGCCUCGGCGGGCCCGUCCUUUACCGGACCGCCGGAGGACCGUCGCCCAGCGGCGGCCUCUGGCCCCGUGCCCGUCGGUGGCCAACCUUGAAACUCUGUAUAAAUCGUGUCGUUUUGUCUGAAUAUACAAUCAAAAAAUAACGCAAAACUUUCAACAACGGAUCUCUUGGUUCUGGCAUCGAUGAAGAACGCAGCGAAAUGCGAUAAGUAAUGCGAAUUGCAGAAUUCCAGUGAGUCAUCGAAUCUUUGAACGCACAUUGCGCCCCUUGGCAUUCCGAGGGGCAUGCCUGUUCGAGCGUCAUUAUCACCCCUCAAGCCCCGCGCUUGGUGUUGGAGGGUCCGGUCGAGUUCACCUCGCCCCCUCCCAAAGACAAUGACGGCGGCCUGCAGUUCCCCCGGCACACUGAGCUUUUCAUCGAGCACGUGUCGGAUUAAGGGCACUCGGGCCACGGUCCUCUUCCUAGCAUUAGGAAAACUCCACGCAAGGUUGACCUCGGAUCAGGUAGGAAUACGCGCUGAACUUAAGCAUAUCAAUAAGCGCAGGAAAAGAAACCAACAGGGAUUGCCUCAGUAACGGCGAGUGAAGCGGCAACAGCUCAAAUUUGAAAUCUGGCCUCUUGGGGUCCGAGUUGUAAUUUGUAGAGGAUGUUUUGGGUACCGCCCCGGUUUAAAUUUCUUGGAACAGAAUGUCAGAGAGGGUGAGAAUCCCGUCUUGGACCGGUGGUAGGGCCUGUGUAAAACUCCUUCGACGAGUCGAGUUGUUUGGGAAUGCAGCUCAAAAUGGGUGGUAAAUUUCAUCUAAAGCUAAAUAUUGGCCAGAGACCGAUAGCGCACAAGUAGAGUGAUCGAAAGAUGAAAAGCACUUUGAAAAGAGAGUUAAACAGUAUGUGAAAUUGUUGAAAGGGAAGCGCUUACAACCAGACUUGCGCGCGGCGGUUCCCCUUGCCUUUUGGUUAGGCUACUCCGCCGCGUCCAGGCCAACAUCGGUUUCGGGGGCCAGUUAAAGGCCCUGGGAAUGUACCUACCCACGGGUAGACUUAUAGACCAGGGUGCCAUGUGGCCUUCCGGGACCGAGGAACGCGCUUCGGCUCGGAUGUUGGCGUAAUGGUUGUCAGCGACCCGUCUUGAAACACGGACCAAGGAGUCUAACAUCUAUGCGAGUGUUUGGGUGUCAAACCCGGAACGCGGAAUGAAAGUGAACGGAGGUAGGAAGCUUCGGCUGCACUAUCGACCGAUCCUGAAGUUUACGGAUGGAUUUGAGUAAGAGCAUAGCUGUUGGGACCCGAAAGAUGGUGAACUAUGCCUGAAUAGGGUGAAGCCAGAGGAAACUCUGGUGGAGGCUCGCAGCGGUUCUGACGUGCAAAUCGAUCGUCAAAUUUGGGUAUAGGGGCGAAAGACUAAUCGAACCAU
rnacentral:rRNA from 1 species